UACGGAGGGUGCAAGCGUUAUCCGGAUUCACUGGGUUUAAAGGGUGCGUAGGUGGGUUGGUAAGUCAGUGGUGAAAUCUCCGUGCUUAACAUGGAAACUGCCAUUGAUACUACUGGUCUUGAAUUUUCUGGAGGUAAGCGGAAUAUGUCAUGUAGCGGUGAAAUGCUUAGAUAUGACACAGAACACCAAUUGCGAAGGCAGCUUGCUAAACUGUAACUGACGCUGAGGCACGAAAGCGUGGGGAUCAAACAGG
rnacentral:rRNA from 1 species